AUGCAGAGGCCGGGGAGUCCCCCCUUUUCGAAAAAAAUAAACUUAUCCGAGCUGUUUGUGAAUGGGGAGAUUGUGCAGAGAUCUCCGGAGAGGCAGAGGAGGGUGGAGCCCGUGUCGCAGAGAGCGUCAGACAUGCCGAGGUACAACGACAGGACCCGCUACGCGCGGCGGAGGGAUAACCAGCAGCAGCAGCGAUGA
rnacentral:rRNA from 1 species